UACGUAGGGUGCAAGCGUUAAUCGGAAUUACUGGGCGUAAAGCGUGCGCAGGCGGUUUUGUAAGUCUGACGUGAAAUCCCCGGGCUCAACCUGGGAAUUGCGUUGGAGACUGCAAGGCUAGAAUCUGGCAGAGGGGGGUAGAAUUCCACGUGUAGCAGUGAAAUGCGUAGAGAUGUGGAGGAACACCGAUGUCGAAGGCAGCCCCCUGGGUCAAGAUUGACGCUCAUGCACGAAAGCGUGGGGAGCAAACAGG
rnacentral:rRNA from 1 species